AUGACCGUGCAAAGGUAGCAUAGUCAAUAGUCUCUUAAAUUGGAGGCUGGAAUGAACGGUUGGACGGGAAGGUAGCUGUCUUGGUUGAACAGAAUGAAUUUGACUUUUAUGUGAAAAGGCAUAAAUGGCUUGGGGGGACGAUAAGACCCUAUAAAACUUUAUAACUUAAUUAAGAAUUUGAUUUGAGUUUAAUGUAGGCUUAAGGAAUGUUAUUUCGCUGGGGAGGUGAAGAUAAAACUUUCUAACUGUUUUAUAAUAAAAAUAAUAAUAAUUAGAUGGUGACCCUGAAUUUUGGUUUAAAAGUUUAAGUUACUUUAGGGAUAACAGCGUAAUCUCUCUUGAGAGUUCAUAUCGACAGAGAUGGUUGCGACCUCGAUGUUGAAUUAAAAUUUCCUGCAGGAGUAGAAAAUUUGU
rnacentral:rRNA from 1 species